rnacentral:lncRNA from 1 species
UCUGAUGCAAAACUCUUCUUUCACUUAAAGGGAUGGUGGUUUGGACUCAUGUUCAGCCAAUGCAUGAUCACUGAGGGAUCAAUUGCUGGUAUGUCUGUCGGUAUUUAAGCAAAGAUGUCCGAAUUUGCCUGCAAAAAGGAGGUUAGUUGGUCUUUCAUUAUUUGAUCCAGAUUUCACCCGAUCUGUACCAUAUGCUCCUGAUUUUCAU